UAUGCCUCAGANGGGGANCCCCCGGGUAUCUGAGGCUGAUCCCAGAUAGAUGAUGGAUCCUGGAAUGGUCCUUCAUCCAAAAAAUACGCGUUUCAUGCUAUGCGUGUUGCCUGAGGAUUGGACCGCACCCUAUCAGGUAGUUGGUGGGGUAAUGGCCCACCAAGCCUAUAACGGGUACGGGCCCUGAGAGGGGGAGCCCGGAGAUGGGCACUGAGACAAGGGCCCAGGCCCUACGGGGCGCAGCAGGCGCGGAACCUCUGCAAUGCGCGAAAGCGCGACAGGGCCACCCCGAGUGCUAUCCGCUGAGGGUAGCUUUUCCUUAGUGUAGUAAGCUAGGGGAAUAAGCGGGGGGCAAGCCUGGUGUCAGCCGCCGCGGUAAUACCAGCUCCGCGAGUGGUCGGGACGAUUAUUGGGCCUAAAGCGUUCGUAGCCGGCCUAUCAAGUCUCUGGUUAAAUUUCAAGGCUUAACCUUGAACGUGCUGGAGAUACUGUUAGGCUAGGGGGCGGGAGAGGUUGAGGGUACUUCGCGGGUAGGGGCGAAAUCCUAUAAUCCGCGAAGGACCACCAGUGGCGAANGCGCUCAACUGGAACGCGCCCGACGGUGAGGGACGAAAGCCAGGGGAGCAAAGGGGAUUAGAUACCCCCGUAGUCCUGGCUGUAACGAUGCGGGCUANGUGUUGGGUUGGCUUCNUGCCANCCGGUGCCNC
rnacentral:rRNA from 1 species